UACGUAGGGGGCAAGCGUUGUCCGGAUUUAUUGGGCGUAAAGAGCGUGUAGGCGGCCAGGUAGGUCUGCUGUGAAAACUCGAGGCUCAACCUCGAGACGUCGGCGGAAACCAUCUGGCUAGAGUCCGGAAGAGGAGAGUGGAAUUCCUGGUGUAGCGGUGAAAUGCGCAGAUAUCAGGAAGAACACCCGUGGCGAAGGCGACUUUCUGGACAGAUACUGACACUGAGGCACGAAAGCGUGGGUAGCAAACAGG
rnacentral:rRNA from 1 species